rnacentral:rRNA from 1 species
UAUGUAGGGUGCGAGCGUUAAUCGGAAUUACUGGGCGUAAAGCGUGCGCAGGCGGUUUUGUAAGCCAGAUGUGAAAUCCCCGGGCUUAACCUGGGAAUGGCAUUUGGGACUGCAAGGCUUGAGUGCGGCAGAGGAGACUGGAAUUCCUGGUGUAGCAGUGAAAUGCGUAGAUAUCAGGAGGAAUACCGAUGGCGAAGGCAGGUCUCUGGGCUGACACUGACGCUCAUGCACGAAAGCGUGGGGAGCAAACAGG